GUUCAACAGUCGAGGCGACUGCGGCGGCAACAGCACACCAACUCGCACCCAACGCUCACUUGGGGUUAUACGCUGUGAAGCGUUGCACACGAAACAUAGAACAGUGUAUUGAGGAGGAAAUACCUCGGAAAGGCGUUUCGAGUUUGGAUGCAAAGGUCUCAUACAAGUACCGCUGCAGAGAAUGGCACGGACAGUCUUUAAACUUUGAAGGUAAGUCAUGAUGACGUUUUUCUUUAUUGUUGUUGUGGGUAGUCGUGUUUAACCAGAUGUUUUUGUAGGGGGUUUAUUGUCAUUAUCUAGUGCAGUGUUUAAGUCCUCUACACUGUUAACAAUCCACACACACACACACACACACACACACACACACACACACACACACACACACACACACACACACACACACACACACACACACACACACACACACACACACACACACACACACACACACACACACACACACAAACAC